CUUUCCUCUCUUGGCUUCUAUUUUUUUAUGUUUUUAGAUUUAUUUAUGUUAUUUUUAUUUUUUUUGUAAAGGUUUUAUUUAUUUAUUGGAGAGAAAAGCACAAGCAGGAGCAGAGGGAGAAGUAGACUCCCUGCUGAACAGGGAUUUCUCCCCCCCACUCCCCUGCCGAGUGUGGGGCUCAAUCCCAGGACCCUGAGGUCAUGACCUGAGCCCACCUAACCGACUGAGCCACCCAGGUACCCCUAGAUUUAUGUUUUCACUUUUAAGUCAUCUCUACACCCCACCUGGGACUCAAACUCACAACCCCGAAAUCAAGAGUCCUAGGCUCCAUGGACUGAGCCAGCCCGGUGCCCCUCUUGCCUUUUGUUUUUGACUGGCCUGCGAAAUGCUUCCCAAGAGCCUGCUCCCGGACUCCUUCCAUCCCCCUGGCUGCUUGUGUGCUCUUUGCAGACCAGGCGCUAACAGGGCAGUGGCGAGCCUCCAACCAAUUAACAGCUUUUCUCGGUGGCCCAGUCCCUCCCUUGUAGGUGUUGUCGCCCAAAUGCAAUCUGGUCUGACAGCCUAGAAAGAUGAGAUAAGAGGUAGGUAGUGAUCUUAAGUCAUAUUUCCUGCCUUCAAGACCCAGGAGUCUUGAAGGGGGACAAAAAGACAAAAAGAAAUGACCCAAGUCAGCUUCCUCCUAAACAGCUCCUGAUCGCGUUUACAGGGGAAGGAAAACAAAAAGGCCUUAUCUAUACGAGGCACUUGCCAGGAUACAACUGGUCUAUUUAAGUUCCUUAUGGAAAAUAUGCCGGGAAGGGACGACCUGGUGGGGCCUAACCUACGGGAAAGCGCGAGCAUCAGCUGGGUCAUUACCGGAGGGUAAAGCGAAGCUGUUUCCUGCCCCGUCUACGCACGCAGUGCCCCACGUGCAGCUCUCACCAGCGCUCACGUUCACUCUGGACCAGGGCGUGCCAGCGCGUGAUGAGGAAGGAUGUGGAGCUACCCUGGGCGGCCCACACUUCUUCGUGUCUCCAGUCUCAAAGCUCCUGGAGCUUUGGAAUGACUAGAAAAGGCCAAUCCUGGACAAGAUCUCUGACUUCUUGUGAGUUUGAUGGAAGAAUCUCAACUUUUGUGUUAUCUCAGAGAUUAGGGAGAAGAGUGGGAUUGCUUGACACCUUUAAAAGCCUCUCGAAUGCCUGGCGUAAUAGAAGACAGCGGCAUUCUCUCUUCUGCUUUCAGCCCGUUAAAAUACCCCACUGUCAGGCAACUUUGGAAGAAGCUCAGCCUGCGCUCCUGAGACAGUGAGUGUGAAGAAGACCACCAUGUGCCCUUGGAGCCACCAUGCUGUGAGGAAGCCCCAGUCACACGGAGAGGCUCACGCGGAGAGAAGCCAGGGUUCUGGGUCCUUCUGGGUCCUCUACUCCAGCUGAGCUCCCAGACAACAGCCCACAUCAACUUGCAGCCACAGGCAUGAGCCCUGGAAAGGGAUCUUCUAGACCCCAGUCAAGCCACCCCAGAUGAUUCUGGGUGAAGCAGACAUGAGUAUUCCCUGCUAGGCCCUGCCCACGUUGCAGAUUCAUGAGAAAAACAAGUAACUCUUUCAAACUAUUGGGUUUGGGCCUGGUUUCUUACACAGUAAUAUAUACCCUGAAUAACACCCAUGGAACUACUACCAGUUCUAGAUAAAGAAAAUUUCUGUUAACCCAGAAGUUUCCCUCAUCUACCCUCCUAGUCAACCAUCCAGUGGAAGGUAAUCACUAUUCUGACCCCUAGCACCACGUCUUAGUUUUGCCAGUCGUGAAGUUUCAUAUAAAUGGAAUCGUGAUGUAUUUUCAUGUGGCUCUUUAGCUCAAUAAGUAAUGAAAUUAAUCCACAUUGUUUCAGGAUUAAGGUUUGUUCUUUUUCAUUCAUCGUAUAACUAUACCACCAUUUAUGUACUCUACUAUUGAGAAUCACUGGCCAUUUAUGAUGAGCAAAGCUGCUAGGCACACUUCCGUAUUUUCUUUGGAUUUACAUAUGUCUUAGUUUUUGUUGGGAUUAUACCUAGGAGUUCAACAGCCAGAGCUUUUGUGGUGUGGUAGUUUUGAAACAUGUCCAUAAAUUCUCUGAUACCCCUUGGAAUCUGGAUGGACCAGAUUACAGAUUAGCAUAUGUAACUAAUGGAAUGCAGUGGAUAUGACCUUGCAUGACUUCCAGGCUAUGUCCAAAAGAGUGAUGCAGUUCUACCUGGUUUUCUUGGGACACUUGCUCUAGGAAGUAUCCAGCCAGUGUUUCUUCACAUGCUGCCCCACCUCUUUCCUGUUCCCCUUCUAAUACUGCAAUAUAUAUUAGUCCUUUCUCAUACGAUUCACAGACAUACAUUCUUUUCUAUAUUUUCUGCCCUUUUCCCUGUAUUUCAAUUUCAGCCUCUACUGACUUGUGUUCUAGUUAUAGUCAUCAUCUGCUCUGCUCUACUUGGCUAUUAAACACACAUUAUUUAGGUAUUAAUGUGUUUAUAGUAUUUUUUUUUCAGGUUAGGAGCCUCCACUUUCAUGGAUUAAAUGUUGAAAUUCUCCAUCUUUCUUCUAUUUUCCUGAUCAUAUCAAACAUGGUUGUUUUAACGUCCUUGUCCGAUAAAUCCAAUAUCCGAACCAUCC
ensembl:lincRNA